rnacentral:tRNA from 1 species
GUGACUUUGGCUGAGUGGUUAAGGCGUGCGCUGCUAAGGUCCCCGUGAGAGUUCGAAUCUCACCAGCCACG